CCUGUUGCAUUCAAGCCCUUCUGAAGCAUGUCUCCAGCAGUGCGCCAUCAUUAGCAUAAUAACUGCCUUCAUCUGAAUAAAGCAGCUACUGAAUUGUGGGAAAUCUUCAAAGGAGGGAUCAAGCUUUGAAGGGGUUUCAACCUUGUGACAUCUUCUCUUGGAGAACAUGAUUUCCUAUAUCAGGGAUUCUGAUCACACAGAAAACCUUAUGACAUCGAUCAAAAUGCUCAGAGAGGUGAUGAGAUUCUAUGAUAUAAUGUACCAUUAUCAGAGCGGUGUCAGGUGAAAAAUUAUUCUUCAGAUAUUUGAUGGUACAUUGAGAUUUCAGGAUUUUAGGGGUCGACUGAUGUGAUGUAUGUAGCUUAACCUUAAUAACAACACAAACUGCACAUGGCAGUGUGUUUCUUGAUUAUUUACUGGGGACAUGUGAAGCUCAGUCUCAGCAGGUGUUUAUUAGGCUUCGUCCCUGACUGACAGAUUAAAAGAGAUCCACAAAUAAAUCCCCCCACAAUUUCCAGAGCACCAUGGAAAAGCUCCAAAACAAUCAAUUUAUGCAGCAUUCUGCAGUUUGUUGAUUUGUAGGAAGAGGAUUAAAAGGUACUUUGAGCAGCGAACACAAAGAUUGUGAUAAAGCCAGUAGGCACUUUUAAUCAAGCUAGGCUUCCUGAAAGUAUACAGGAGGCAUAGUCUGGAAACUUUGGAAAGUACUGCGUGCCAUUUUAAGAGAAGGACUGGUACUGUGAUUGUGUGCCUCUGAUGCUCUGCAUAUUUAUGAAACACACGCAGACUAAGAAGGCCUUUUAUUAUUUAUUUCAGAUUAAAUGCUCGAAUACAGUCACAUGCAAGUGGAUUUAAAGUAUAGGUUGUGCAUGUAUGUACUGGCAUAUUUAGGAUGGGACUUAAAGACACCGUAAUUUAAAGGUGAUGAAUACAAGAUUUGAUUUUAUUCUCGUACUCAGUUUAUUGUACAGUACAUUGACUACUAUACAUAUACCAUUAAUGGGUUUCCCCCAAAAGGGUAAACAUUAA